rnacentral:rRNA from 1 species
AUUGAACGCUGGCGGCAUGCCUUACACAUGCAAGUCGAACGGUAACAGGUCUUCGGAUGCUGACGAGUGGCGAACGGGUGAGUAAUACAUCGGAACGUGCCCAGACGUGGGGGAUAACGAGGCGAAAGCUUUGCUAAUACCGCAUACGAUCUAAGGAUGAAAGCAGGGGACCGCAAGGCCUUGCGCGUUUGGAGCGGCCGAUGGCAGAUUAGGUAGUUGGUGGGAUAAAAGCUUACCAAGCCGACGAUCUGUAGCUGGUCUGAGAGGACGACCAGCCACACUGGGACUGAGACACGGCCCAGACUCCUACGGGAGGCAGCAGUGGGGAAUUUUGGACAAUGGGCGAAAGCCUGAUCCAGCAAUGCCGCGUGCAGGAUGAAGGCCUUCGGGUUGUAAACUGCUUUUGUACGGAACGAAAAGUCUCUGGCUAAUACCUGGGGCACAUGACGGUACCGUAAGAAUAAGCACCGGCUAACUACGUG